AUUCCAGCUCCAAUAGCGUAUAUUAAAGUUGUUGCAGUUAAAACGCUCGUAGUUGAAUUUCUGGGUGUGAUAGGCGGUCCGUGUGCAUAACAUGUGUACCUCCCUCUCAUGCCCAUCCUCGAAAUGAAUAUGCAUUGCCUUAACUGUGUCGUGUAUAGGACCUUCGUCAUUUACUGUGAGCAAAAUAGAGUGUUCAAAGCAGGCUUAUGCCGUUGAAUAUAUUAGCAUGGAAUAAUAAGAUAUGACUUCUGUCUAUUUUGUUGGUUUGCAUUCGGAAGUAAUGAUUAAUAGGGAUAGUUGGGGGUUUUCGUAUUCAAUUGUCAGAGGUGAAAUUCUUGGAUUUAUGGAAGACGAACUACUGCGAAAGCAUCAACCAAGGAUGUUUUCAUCA
rnacentral:rRNA from 1 species